rnacentral:rRNA from 2 species
UUAAAUUGAAGAGUUUGAUCAUGGCUCAGAUUGAACGCUGGCGGCAGGCCUAACACAUGCAAGUCGAGCGGU